CUACGGGGGGCUGCAGUGGGGAAUAUUGGACAAUGGGGGAAACCCUGAUCCAGCAAUGCCGCGUGUGUGAAGAAGGCCUGCGGGUUGUAAAGCACUUUCGGUUGGGAGGACUGCUUCUAGCACUAAUAUUGUUGGAAGUUGACGUUACCUUCAGAAGAAGCGCCGGCUAACUCCGUGCCAGCAGCCGCGGUAAUACGGAGGGUGCAAGCGUUAAUCGGAAUUACUGGGCGUAAAGCGCGCGUAGGCGGCUAGAUCAGUCGGGUGUGAAAGCCCCGGGCUUAACCUGGGAACUGCAUCCGAUACUGUCUAGCUUGAGUACAGGAGAGGAGAGUGGAAUUCCACAUGUAGCGGUGAAAUGCGUAGAUAUGUGGAGGAACACCAAUGGCGAAGGCAGCUCUCUGGCCUGAUACUGACGCUGAGGCGCGAAAGCGUGGGGAGCAAACAGGAUUAGAUACCCCAGUAGUC
rnacentral:rRNA from 1 species